AGUCGUGGGGCAGCGCAGGUAGCAAUACUGGGCGGCGACCGGCAAACGGGUGCGGAACACGUACACAACCUUCCGAGAAGUGGGGAAUAGCCCAGAGAAAUUUGGAUUAAUACCCCGUAACAUAACGAUGUGGCAUCACAUUGUUAUUAUAGCUUCGGCGCUUCUUGAUGGGUGUGCGGCUGAUUAGAUAGUUGGCGGGGUAACGGCCCACCAAGUCUACGAUCAGUAGCUGAUGUGAGAGCAUGAUCAGCCACACGGGCACUGAGACACGGGCCCGACUCCUACAGGAGGCAGCAGUAAGGAAUAUUGGUCAAUGGACGCAAGUCUGAACCAGCCAUGCCGCGUGAAGGAUUAAGGUCCUCUGGAUUGUAAACUUCUUUUAUCUGGGACGAAAAAAGGCGAUUCUUCGUCACUUGACGGUACCAGAUGAAUAAGCACCGGCUAACUCCGUGCCAGCAGCCGCGGUAAUACGGAGGGUGCAAGCGUUAUCCGGAUUCACUGGGUUUAAAGGGUGCGUAGGCGGGCAGGUAAGUCAGUGGUGAAAUCCUAGAGCUUAACUCUAGAACUGCCAUUGAUACUAUCUGUCUUGAAUAUUGUGGAGGUAAGCGGAAUAUGUCAUGUAGCGGUGAAAUGCUUAGAUAUGACAUAGAACACCUAUUGCGAAGGCAGCUUACUACGCAUAUAUUGACGCUGAGGCACGAAAGCGUGGGGAUCAAACAGGAUUAGAUACCCUGGUAGUCCACGCCCUAAACGAUGAUUACUCGACAUUUGUGAUACACUAUAAGUGUCUGAGCGAAAGCAUUAAGUAAUCCACCUGGGAAGUACGACCGCAAGGUUGAAACUCAAAGGAAUUGGCGGGGGUCCNNNNNNNCGGUGGAGCAUGUGGUUUAAUUCGAUNANNCGCGAGGAACCUUACCUGGG
rnacentral:rRNA from 1 species